UACGUAGGGUGCGAGCGUUGUCCGGAAUUACUGGGCGUAAAGAGCUCGUAGGUGGUUUGUCGCGUUGUUCGUGAAAACUCACAACUCAAUUGUGGGCGUGCGGGCGAUACGGGCAGACUGGAGUACUGCAGGGGAGACUGGAAUUCCUGGUGUAGCGGUGGAAUGCGCAGAUAUCAGGAGGAACACCGGUGGCGAAGGCGGGUCUCUGGGCAGUAACUGACGCUGAGGAGCCAAAGCGUGGGGAGCGAACAGG
rnacentral:rRNA from 1 species